rnacentral:ncRNA from 1 species
UGUAGGUGGCUUUUUAAGUCCGCCGUCAAAUCCCAAGGCUCAACCCUGGACAGGUGGUGGAAACUACCAAGCUGAAGUACAGUAGGGGCAGAGGGAAUUUUCGGUGGAGUGGUGAAAUGCGUAGAGAUCGAAAAUUGGACUUAUUUGAUUAAUUUAUUAGUUAUGAUAAAAUUAGAUUUAGA